rnacentral:lncRNA from 1 species
CAGUUCUCAGACAUUCACCGAGUGCUGACCACAUGCCAGGGACUUACACCCACCCACCAAGUCCACACUGAGCCCUGCAGAGGAAUCCCUGACACCCCCAUUUUGCAGAUUAGGAAGCAGAAGCUAAGCGAAAGCAGAAUCAAGAUUCAAACCCAGGCACGGUGAAACCAGAGCUGUCCAACUGCUAGGAGAAAACAGGGCCUCAGAGAUGAUGGCUGAGCCAUGAAAAGGUGGGGUCAGAAGCCAGGCCCAGUCUCCUGAAUUCCAGACUCCAGAAUCUCCCCCAGGAUUGAGGUGUCCGGCACACUUCUCAGGAGGUCCUGAAACCAG